GGCCCGGUGGGUGAGUGCUCAGCCGGGAGCCUGCAAAGCUCCGUACGCUCGGUUCAACUCCGAGCCCGGGCCUCCA
rnacentral:tRNA from 1 species